UGGGGAAUAUUGCACAAUGGGGGAAACCCUGAUGCAGCGACGCCGCGUGAACGAAGAAGGUAUUCGUAUCGUAAAGUUCUGUCCUAUGGGAAGAUAAUGACAGUACCAUAGAAGAAAGCUCCGGCUAAAUACGUGCCAGCAGCCGCGGUAAUACGUAUGGGGCGAGCGUUGUCCGGAAUUAUUGGGCGUAAAGGGUACGCAGGCGGUUUAAUAAGUCGAAUGUUAAAGAUCGGGGCUCAACCCCGCAAAGCAUUGGAAACUGAUAAACUUGAGUAGUGGAGAGGAAAGUGGAAUUCCUAGUGUAGUGGUGAAAUACGUAGAUAUUAGGAGGAAUACCAGUAGCGAAGGCGACUUUCUGGACACAAACUGACGCUGAGGUACGAAAGCGUGGGGAGCAAACAGG
rnacentral:rRNA from 1 species